UACGUAGGCAGCAAGCGUUGUUCGGAUUCAUUGGGCGUAAAGGGUGCGUAGGCGGCGCGGUAAGUCGGGUGUGAAAUCUCGGGGCUUAACUCCGAAACUGCAUUCGAUACUGCCGUGCUUGAGGACUGGAGAGGAGACUGGAAUUUACGGUGUAGCGGUGAAAUGCGUAGAUAUCGUAAGGAAGACCAGUGGCGAAGGCGGGUCUCUGGACAGUUCCUGACGCUGAGGCACGAAGGCCAGGGGAGCAAACGGG
rnacentral:rRNA from 1 species